rnacentral:rRNA from 1 species
GACGAACGCUGGCGGCGUGCUUAACACAUGCAAGUCGAACGGAAAGGCCCCCACCUUGGUGGGGGUGCUCGAGUGGCGAACGGGUGAGUAACACGUGGGUGAUCUGCCCUGUACUUCGGGAUAAGCUUGGGAAACUGGGUCUAAUACCGGAUAGGACCAUGGUUUAGUGUCUCAUGGUGGAAAGAUUAUUGUUUUGGUGCAGGAUGAGCUCGCGGCCUAUCAGCUUGUUGGUGGGGUAAUGGCCUACCAAGGCGUCGACGGGUAGCCGGCCUGAGAGGGUGGACGGCCACAUUGGGACUGAGAUACGGCCCAGACUCCUACGGGAGGCAGCAGUGGGGAAUAUUGCACAAUGGGCGCAAGCCUGAUGCAGCGACGCCGCGUGGGGGAUGACGGCCUUCGGGUUGUAAACUCCUUUCGUUAGGGACGAAGCCGCACCUUUUUUGGGUGUGGUGACGGUACCUUUGUUAAGAAGCACGGCUAA